UAAGAAAUUGGGAGAUUUUCCAAAUUUCUCAGUGAAUGAUUGUACCACAUUACUGCUGUCCUUUUUUUUCUGGCAGGCUCCCUGAGGAUCCCGUGCCCUUUUUGGAGAGUCAGUCUAGCCCUGACUGACAGCACUGUAUACAGAUCUGGAUGGCAUCGAAGUGACAAUGCUUAUGUAGGACUGGAUGAUAGAGAGGCAUGAAAAUUGGACAGAUCGCUGUGUUUAUACAGUGGAAGGCAUGAAGAGAAGUAAAUCUGUAUACUGCUGGAUGUUAGGAGAAUAAAGGUAUGCAGAAAUUUUCUCAGCAAAAAUGUGACCAAUUAAGAGACCCGGGCAGACUGACUGAAGGGGCUUCUCUAAAUGUGAGCUUCUCAAGUAAGUACAGUGGUUAAGAUGUAAAUUGGUUAAGUUGUACCAGCACAAUUGAGUCCAAUGGUGUUCAUGAAACCACCAUUAAUUGUUUGAAAACCCAUCUGGCUCAUUAAUGUCCUUUAGGG